AGUCGGCUGAGCAGUCGCUGUUCCAGUGUGUUGUGCGUUCUUUAUUGGGCGAAUAACGGCAGGGAUGGAGGAAAGUCCGGGCUCCAUAGGGCAGAGUGCCAGGUAACGCCUGGGAGGCGUGAGCCUACGGAAAGUGCCGCAGAAAAUAUACCGCCUAAGCAGUUCGCUGCCGGUAAGGGUGAAAUGGUGCGGUAAGAGCGCACCGCGCGGCUGGUAACAGGCGUGGCAGGGUAAACCCCACUCGGAGCAAGACCAAAUAGGGAUCCAAUAGGCGUGGCCCGCGCUGGAUCCGGGUAGGUUGCUUGAGGUGCACGGCGACGUGCAUCCCAGAGGAAUGACUGUUCUCGACAGAACCCGGCUUACAGGCCGGCUCC
rnacentral:RNase_P_RNA from 1 species